AAGAAGUCAGGCCGGUUUAAGCCAUAGUACGGUAAGAGCUAUGCUGCCUGUGAGCCCCGUCCAAGGACGUAAAAUGAAGUCAGGCCGAAAGCCACGGCUCGAGCAAACCGUGCUGCCUGUGGCUCCAUCGUGGGGAUGUAAAAACCCGGGAGGCUGCAACCCAUGGAAGCUGUACGCAUGGGGUAGCAGACUAGUGGUUAGAGGAGACCCCUCCCAAGACACAACGCAGCAGCGGGGCCCAACACCANNGGAAGCUGUACCCUGGUGGUAAGGACUAGAGGUU
rnacentral:lncRNA from 1 species